GCCUCUGUGGAUUAACGUGAGAUCACCUAUUCAAAAUCAUUGGGUACACCGAUUCCAGCACAAGAGGAGACGUGGGUUCAAAUCCCACCGGCGGCA